CAGUCGCCACGGUAAUACGUAGGUGGCAAGCGUUGUCCGGAAUUAUUGGGCGUAAAGCGCGCGCAGGCGGAUCAGUUAGUCUGUCUUAAAAGUUCGGGGCUUAACCCCGUGAGGGGAUGGAAACUGCUGAUCUAGAGUAUCGGAGAGGAAAGUGGAAUUCCUAGUGUAGCGGUGAAAUGCGUAGAUAUUAGGAAGAACACCAGUGGCGAAGGCGACUUUCUGGACGAAAACUGACGCUGAGGCGCGAAAGCCAGGGGAGCGAACGGGAUUAGAUACCCCGGUAGUCCCUGUCUCUUAUACC
rnacentral:rRNA from 1 species